GGUGCCAUACCCAAGUGGUAAGGGAAAGGUCUGCAAAACCUUGAUACAUCGGUUCGAAUCCGAUUGGCACCUCUA
rnacentral:tRNA from 1 species